rnacentral:rRNA from 1 species
UACAGAGGUCUCAAGCGUUGUUUCGGAUUCAUUGGGCGUAAAGGUGCGUAGGCGGCGCGGUAAGUCGGUGUGAAUCUUGGAGCUUAACUCCGAACUGCAUUCGAUACUGCCGUGCUUGAGGACUGAGAGAGACUGAUUACGUGUAGCGUGAUGCGUAGAUAUCGUAGAGACAGUGCGAGCGGGGGGUCUCUGACAGUCUG